rnacentral:lncRNA from 1 species
UGGAGGAUGUAGAGCGAAGCGGAGGAGAGGAAGAUGCAGACGGAGUAGCUGAGCAGGUCGAGCCCCGUGGCGAUCUUCACCAUCUUGCUCCGCUCGAACAUCUUCACCAGCAGGAUCAUCACGAUCACGUGCCCCACCUUCGUCUUCAGCUCGUCCAGCGACGUGAUCUUCAUCCACUUGGGCCGCUCCUGCACCCACCCAACAGUUCAUUCAGUUCCAGGUUUCUAAUUACUUCCUCUGAUUCAUAAUAAGUGUCGCGGGCCGCUCCUGCACCCACCCAACAGUUCAUUCAGUUCCAGGUUUCUAAUUACUUCCUCUGAUUCAUAAUAAGUGUCGCCGAUCUAAGUACAAGUCUGAACUUAUAGUAGAACUUGUUGAAUCACCUUGAGAGCGAACAUCCCGAAG